GGGUAUUUACCGAAAAAUUAAACUGAAGACACAUCUGUGUUUGCAUCAAUGGUUUCUGAGCUUCAAUUUUCGCCAUGUGAAGCAGUUAAAAAGCUUUUAAAUAUAUGGUGGUCAGGGUUCUCUUUCAUGUUAAUGAAAAGAGAGGGAGUAGCACUUAUAAUUUAAAUACUAAAAGAAAAAGAUGUUGUAUAAUUCCCAAAGCCAUAAUUCAAACCCACACCACUUAGUAAUGUAAAACAAUUCAAAGGAGAAAACUAACUGCCUAAUUUAUCCACAAAAUAGUGAACGAGAAACUUAGUAACACAGUUACAAACUACAUGUACAACCACUGAAUCCAGGC
rnacentral:lncRNA from 1 species